rnacentral:rRNA from 1 species
AAUGGCCUACCAAGGCUGUGAUGGGUAGCCGGCCUGAGAGGGUGAUCGGCCACAUUGGGACUGAGAUACGGCCCAAACUCCUACGGGAGGCAGCAGUUAAGAAUCUUGCGCAAUGGGCGAAAGCCUGACGCAGCGACGCCGCGUGGACGAUGAAGGCCUUAGGGUUGUAAAGUCCAUUAAGCAGGGAAGAAUAAACAUGUUAUAACAUGGCAUGUGAUGACGGUACCUGCUGAAAGCCUCGGCUAACUACGUGCCAGCAGCCGCGGUAACACGUAUGAGGUGAGCGUUGUUCGGAAUUAUUGGGCGUAAAGGGCGUGUAGGCGGGGAACUAAGUUAGAUGUGAAAGCCAUGGGCUCAACCCGUGAAUUGCAUCUAAUACUGGUUCUCUUGAGUUCGGGAGAGGUGAGCGGAAUUCCCGGUGUAGCGGUGAAAUGCGUAGAUAUCGGGAAGAACACCAGUGGCGAAGGCGGCUCACUGGCCUAGAACUGACGCUAAGGCGCGAAAGCGUGGGGAGCGAACGGGAUUAGAUACCCCGGUAGUCCACGCCGUAAACGUUGUAUACUAGGUGUUAGUGGAUUUAUUCACUAGUGCCGAAGCUAACGCAUUAAGUAUACCGCCUGGGGAGUACACUCGCAAGGGUGAAACUCAAAGAAAUUGACGGGGGCCCGCACAAGCGGUGGAUCAUGUGGUUUAAUUCGAUGAUACGCGAAGAACCUUACCUGGGCUUGAACUGUACCUGACAGGUGUAGAGAUACACCCUCCUUCGGGCAGGUAUAGAGGUGCUGCAUGGUUGUCGUCAGCUCGUGUCGUGAGAUGUUGGGUUAAGUCCCGCAACGAGCGCAACCCUUACUCCUUGUUGCUAACAGGUUAAGCUGAGCACUCUAGGGGGACUGCCGGUUAUAAACCGGAGGAAGGUGAGGAUGACGUCAAAUCAGCACGGCCUUUAUGUCCAGGGCUACACACGUGAUACAAUGGUCGGUACAAAGAGCUGCGAGCCCGCGAGGUGGAGCUAAUCUCAAAAAACCGGCCUCAGUUCGGAUUGCAGUCUGCAACUCGACUGCAUGAAGGUGGAAUCGCUAGUAAUCGCAGAUCAGCACGCCCCGCUGAAUACGUUCCCGGGCCUUGUACACACCGCCCGUCACACCAUCCGAGUUGGCAGCACCCAAGUUGGCUGGUCUAACCCUUCGGGGAGGAAGGU